rnacentral:rRNA from 1 species
AGUGAACGCUGGCGGCAGGCCUAAUACAUGCAAGUCGAACGGCAGCACAGCAGAGCUUGCUCUGUGGGUGGCGAGUGGCGGACGGGUGAGGAAUACAUGGGAAUCUGCCCAGUCGUGGGGGAUAACGUAUGGAAACGUACGCUAAUACCGCAUGCGCCCUACGGGGGAAAGUCGGGGACCGCAAGGCCUGACGCGAUUGGAUGAGCCCAUGUUCGAUUAGCUAGUUGGCGGGGUAAAGGCCCACCAAGGCGACGAUCGAUAGCUGGUCUGAGAGGAUGAUCAGCCACACUGGAACUGAGACACGGUCCAGACUCCUACGGGGAGGCAGCAGUAGGGAAUAUUGGACAAUGGGGGCAACCCUGAUCCAGCCAUGCCGCGUGAGUGAAGAAGGCCCUCGGGUUGUAAAGCUCUUUUGUCCGGAAAGAAAAGCAAUCGGUUAAUACCCGGUUGUUCUGACG